UACGUAGGGUGCGAGCGUUGUCCGGAAUUAUUGGGCGUAAAGAGCUCGUAGGCGGUCUGUCGCGUCUGCUGUGAAAUCCCGAGGCUCAACCUCGGGCUUGCAGUGGGUACGGGCAGGCUAGAGUGCGGUAGGGGAGAAUGGAACUCCUGGUGUAGCGGUGGAAUGCGCAGAUAUCAGGAGGAACACCGGUGGCGAAGGCGGGUCUCUGGGCCGAUACUGACGCUGGAGGAGCGAAAGCGUGGGGAGCGAACAGG
rnacentral:rRNA from 1 species